GCGGGCAUGGCAUAGCGGUCGUGCAUCAGCCUUCCAAGCUGACGAGCCGGGUUCGACUCCCGGUGUCCGCUCCA
rnacentral:tRNA from 1 species